GUGGUCGAGGCCUAGUGGUUAAGGCGGUGGACUAGUGAAUCCACUGGGGUCUCCCCGCGCAGGUUCGACUCCUGCCGACCACG